rnacentral:rRNA from 1 species
CGUAGGUGCAAGCGUUGUCCGGAAUUAUUGGGCGUAAAGAGCUCGUAGGCGGUUUGUCGCGUCUGCUGUGAAACCCGAGGCUCAACCUCGGGCCUGCAGUGGGUACGGGCAGACUAGAGUGCGGUAGGGGAGAAUGGAAUUCCUGGUGUAGCGGUGGAAUGCGCAGAUAUCAGGAGGAACACCGAUGGCGAAGGCAGUUCUCUGGGCCGUUACUGACGCUGAGGAGCGAAAGCGUGGGGGAGCGAACAGGAUU